GCCGGGCAUGGUGGUGCGUGCCUGUCGUCCCAGCUACUCGGGAGGCUGAGGCUGGAGGAUCUCUUGAGCCCAGGAGUUCUGGGCUGUAGUGUGCUAUGCCAAUCGGGUGUCUGCACUAAGUUCGACAUCAAUAUGGUGACCUCCUGGGAGCAGGGGACCACCAGGUUGCCUAAGGAGGGAUGAACCGUCCCAGGUCGGAAGUGGAGCAGGUCAAAACUCCCGUGCUGAUCAGUAGUGGGAUCGCGCCUGUGAAUAGCCACUGCACUCCAGCCUGGGCAACAUAGCGAGACCCCGUCUCU
rnacentral:SRP_RNA from 1 species